UUGAACGCUGGCGGCAUGCCUUACACAUGCAAGUCGAACGGCAGCACGGGGGGCAACCCUGGUGGCGAGUGGCGAACGGGUGAGUAAUGCAUCGGAACGUGCCCAGUAGUGGGGGAUAACUAGUCGAAAGAUUAGCUAAUACCGCAUACGACCUAUGGGUGAAAGCGGGGGAUUCGCAAGAACCUCGCGCUAUCGGAGCGGCCGAUGUCUGAUUAGCUAGUUGGCGGGGAAAGGCCCACCAAGGCUUCGAUCAGUAGCUGGUCUGAGAGGACGACCAGCCACACUGGGACUGAGACACGGCCCAGACUCCUACGGGAGGCAGCAGUGGGGAAUUUUGGACAAUGGGCGCAAGCCUGAUCCAGCCAUGCCGCGUGCGGGAAGAA
rnacentral:rRNA from 1 species